rnacentral:rRNA from 1 species
CCUACGGGGAGCUGCAGUCGAGAAUCAUUCACAAUGGGGGAAACCCUGAUGGUGCGACGCCGCGUGGGGGAAUGAAGGUCUUCGGAUGGUAAACCCCUUUCAUGUGGGAGCAAAUAAAAAAGAUAGUACCACAAUAGGAAGAGACGGCUAACACUGUGCCAGCAGCCGCGGUAAUACGGAGGUCUCAAGCGUUGUCCGGAAUCACUGGGAGUAGAGGGUGCGUAGGGGGUUAGGGAAGUCUGUGGUGAAAGGGGCGGGCUCAACCCGCGGACUGCACAUGCUACUGCGAGGCUAGAGUACUGGAGGGGCAACCGGAAUUCUGGGUGUAGCAGUGAAAUGCGUAGAUA